GAUCAUGGCUCAGGACGAACGCUGGCGGCAUGCCUAACACAUGCAAGUCGAACGGAGAUUAUUUCGGUAAUCUUAGUGGCGAACGGGUGAGUAACGCGUGGGCAACCUGCCCUCUAGAUGGGGACAACAUCCCGAAAGGGGUGCUAAUACCGAAUGUGACAGCAAUCUCGCAUGAGAAUGCUGUGAAAGAUGGCCUCUAUUUAUAAGCUAUCGCUAGAGGAUGGG
rnacentral:rRNA from 1 species